UAAGAUUAAUUGAAAAUUGUUUAUUCAAUUAUAUUCAUUUUAAAACUUAAUAAUUAUGUUGUUUUAAAUGUAAGCAAUAAUUUUUGAAGCGCCCAAGACAAAGUAAUGCGAUUUAAUGAAAUGAUGCGAUGAAGUGAAAUUCAGGGAAGAAAAGCCCUGAAAAUUUAGUUCCCGAUUCUCUUUAUCAUACCCCAAAACGGGACAAAAGAAUCCGUAACCGAAAUUGAAAUACUGCAUUUAAUGGAAAUGUUCGAUGUCAAUUUGAUUUCAUUCUUGAAAAAACAUAACUCGAAAGGAAAUAAAAAAACAAAAAGGCAUCAUUUCUUAAAUGUCAUUCAACAACUGUGAAAGAAGUGCAUUUUGAAUAUUGAUUUGAAGAAAAUCUUUGGAAGAUUCUGAAUAUAGUAGGACAAAACUAUACAAAUACUAGAUCAUCAUUAUGAUGACUAUGGUGAGGGAAAAUUAAAAGAUGAUGAUGAUGAAUGAAAUUAAUAUGAAGAGUUUUUAGAUAAAAAUUUGUAUGUGUGCCUUCUAAAUCUCCUUUCAAUUAUAAAAUUGUUGAUGAGGUAAAAAUCAAAUGUUAUAAUAACACAUCUUGUUUAUGGAUAGCCUUCAAAGUUUACUGGUCUUCAAUCUAUCAAGACCACUACUUGCAUCUUGCUUGGAUCAUUGGAAGAGAGAUCACAAACAGUACAUAACUGUAUCUAAUUGAAAUGAUCCAAACUCAGCCUGAUUCUACCUUAUGUAACGUUAAAUACUUAGAUUACUUUAAACUUAAAACAUCAACUAGGACUUAUCUAUUAUUAGGACUUAUUAUACUGGAUAACUGGUUCUGCAAAUUAAGUAAACAAAGUCAGAAAAACAGUCUUUAUUUAUCACCUGAAUACAAACACAAUAUCUUUGUGUUUCUGACCUGUUGUCCCCUCAUCAGCAGAUUUACCAUCAACAAUCUCUAAAAAAUUUCAAUUUAAAAUUGGUACAAAAAUUACAUAAAAAUUCCUGACAGUAAAAUAAUUUAAAACUUCAAUUCCUGGGUUUUUAAGUACCUCCUCGAAACUGACAAUAUUUAAUGCAAUAUUCAAUAAUAUCAAUCCAAACAUAUUCCUGCUUUUAAAAAAAUAUAAUUAAUUUAAAAUAAUGAAGAUUGGUUUAAACAUAUUCCAAUAAUAAACUUGCAUCAACAAGCUUUUGCUUUCCCUUGAACAUCGUUUUAACCCCACUUGAUUUCUCCUUUUAUACUUCUCUCUCCCUCCAUAGAUGAUGCUGUUCCAUGAUUAGUCUAGUCCUGUGUUUGUUAUUUAUUCUAUCUUUUUGUUUAACUAUAUAGAUGUGUUUAUACAAUUGUCUUUUAUAAUUUAUUUUUCUCUUUUUGACAAGACUAUGUCUUAUUUAUAAAAUCGUACUACCGGUUUAUGUUACC